rnacentral:rRNA from 1 species
GAUAGCUAAGACCGCAUAGGUACGGACACUGCAUGGUGACCGUAUUAAAAGUGCCUCAAAGCACUGGUAGAGGAUGGACUUAUGGCGCAUUAGCUGGUUGGCGGGGUAACGGCCCACCAAGGCGACGAUGCGUAGCCGACCUGAGAGGGUGACCGGCCACACUGGGACUGAGACACGGCCCAGACUCCUACGGGAGGCAGCAUG